rnacentral:lncRNA from 1 species
UUCUUGAUAGUAACCGUGCAUUUUUGCCUUGUAGAACACAGCUAUGUGGAUACUUUACCUUUGUCAUAUUGUGGGGCUUGCUGACCUUCCGCAGAGCUGAAGUUUGACUGAAGAAUUCUUCCCAAUGUCAUAAAAUCCUGGAGGACGGGACUGUGUUUUGAGAUGCUUUUGGAUGCACACACCCUGUCUAGUAUGUGGUCCAUGUAAUGUAUGAUGAAGAUGGGUGUCAUGGUCAGUAAUCCUGGUAACUUAUGGGAUGUUGUAAAAAGAAAAGCCUGUGACCUGCUUCUGUGACUUGGGUAUUAAUCUUCAAGCUUGCCAGAUCCUUAAGCCUUAUGAAGCUGCUCCAAGGUAACUAUAUAUUUCACCAAAAGAAUUUUAAAGCAUGAUUUCUCAGGUUCUAUGGGUACAUAUUUACAUCCAGGAAAUUAACUUAUAAUUUGUAUUCACAAUGCAAAACCAAGUACAGACUAUGAAUCAAGGAUAGAAUGCCUUGCUUGUGCCUAGUAUACAGUCAGUUCUAAAGAAAUAUUUGUGAAAUGAAAAUGGAUUUGAAACAUGACAGAUAUAAAAAUGGGAAAUAAUUAGUCUCUUGAAUCAAUAAAUGCCAUCUCUAUUGGCUAAAGUUUAUGUGAAUC